rnacentral:rRNA from 1 species
AUUGAACGCUGGCGGCAUGCCUUACACAUGCAAGUCGAACGGCAGCACGGGAGCAAUCCUGGUGGCGAGUGGCGAACGGGUGAGUAAUAUAUCGGAACGUGCCCAGUCGUGGGGGAUAACGCAGCGAAAGCUGUGCUAAUACCGCAUACGAUCUAUGGAUGAAAGCGGGGGAUCGCAAGACCUCGCGCGAUUGGAGCGGCCGAUAUCAGAUUAGCUAGUUGGUGGGGUAAAGGCCCACCAAGGCGACGAUCUGUAGCUGGUCUGAGAGGACGACCAGCCACACUGGAACUGAGACACGGUCCAGACUCCUACGGGAGGCAGCAGUGGGGAAUUUUGGACAAUGGGCGCAAGCCUGAUCCAGCAAUGCCGCGUGCAGGAUGAAGGCCUUCGGGUUGUAAACUGCUUUUGUACGGAACGAAACGGUCCUUUCUAAUACAGAGGGCUAAUGACGGUACCGUAAGAAUAAGCACCGGCUAACUACGUGCCAGCAGCCGCAGUAA